rnacentral:lncRNA from 1 species
CCGCCGCCGACGGUCCCGCACCGCUUCCGGCAGCGCUACGGCGCCACCUGGCGGCGGAAUCGGGCGGGCGGAGCGGGGAUCACCGCGCUUCUGGUCUCCAGAGCCAAGGAAAGAGCAGCCAUCGGCACUCACGAGACUCUUAUUUUGCCUUGCCCGGAGUAACAGCGCCUGACCGUUUCCAGAAGUUUGUCCUCGUGUUUUCAUGGCCGUGCCGUGGGAGGACUGCACGCAGCUAUAAUUCUUCAGGAUUCUGUCACAGAGUCAUAGAAUCAUUGAGGUUGGAAAAGACCACGAAGAUCAACUACCCCAACCAUCAGUCCGUCAACCUCACCAUGCCCACUGACCACGUCCCUCAGUGCCACAUCCACACUGUUCUUCAACACCUCCAGUGAUGGUGACUGCACCACCUCCCUGGGCAGCCUGUGCCACUGCAGCACCGCUCUUGCUGAUAAGAACGUUUUUCCUAAUAUCCAACCUGAACCUCCUCUGGCUCAACUUGAUGUCAUUACCUCUGGCUCUAUCACUGUUACCUGGGAAAAGAGGCCAACCCCCACCUCACCGCAUCCUCCUUUCAGGUCACUGUAGAGAGUGAUGAGGUCUCCCCUGAGCUCCUCUUCUUCAUACUGAACAACCUCAGCUCCCUCAGCAGCUUCUCAUGAGACUUGUGCUCCAGACCCUUCACAGCUCCAUUGCCCUUCUCCUGACAGUUCAGGGCCUCAAUGUUUUAUUGGAAAGAAUUGAGAAUCCACAUUUUCUCAUUUAAAGAAGAAAAAGCUUUGCUCUGCUCCUUGAAGGCACUGCCAUGCCCUAGUCUCAUCAGAGUUGCUAAGGAGCACAAAUCUUUGUAACUGAAGAGCCAUGGAGGACACUGGCAGAGGCCGAAUAAGGAUGAAGAACACUGUUACAACUGGGGAAAAAGAAAAAAAAAAUCUCAAAAGGGAUCAGCCAAAAUAUUUAGGUUUUGUAAAAUUACAUUUUGUUUGUUAGAUUUGUAUCAACUUGAAACAAACAGUUCAGUCAUAAAGAGGUUUCACAACGUUACCCUGAAGCAUUUGUAACUGAUCUCUGGGGCUAUUUUAAAGGUUGGUGUCAUGGAACUCAGAAGAAAGUUUAUGGAAGGGGCAAACACUAAGGCCAACUAUGUGCUGAGUAAGCUUGGUAUAAACAGGAAGAGAUAGUUGAAAAUCCCAGAUUUAGCAAUAUGCUGUGGUAGAGACAGACCAAUCAACAUCCUGAAACUGAUCAGUGAUCUCAGUUCUGGAAAAUCUAGUUUAAUGUAUGAAAAUAAGAUCUGCUUUUUGAGGGAAAAAAAAAAAAAAAAAAGAAAAGAAGAAGAAGAACAAUAUUUUUAAUAGACUUUUCUAGCACCAACCAAAUCCACUCAGUUUAGAAUCUGUUUUCUUUCAUUCCUUUGCAUCCUGGCUGAAAGUAAGGUGAUGAAUUUCAUGACUUCCUUUCCUCCUCAGCAAACAACUGUGUUCUAAGUCAUAGUCACUUACUGUGUCCUACUAAGAAACCUUCAAAAGCACUUCUCUCAGAUGACAAAGCUGUGUAAAAAGCUACCAUUUUAUUUUGAAUGAUUGCCUUUCCCCUGAAAACAUGUUCUGUUUUUUGUUUGUUUGUUUGUUUGUUUGUUUUGUUUUCCCCCUAAAAAUGCAGUGUUAAAUUAAAAUGAUAGCUACAAAUUCACACACUACCGGCUUCAGGAUGUUGACUACUUCAUUCAGAGCACAAAACCACCGCAGAAUGACUCAUCUGCAGCUAAAUAAUCUCUCUCUCUUGUCACUGGUAGCCCACAGCAGUCUGCAGCUUGUGCUUUCCGGAAGCUAAGAUUUACCCCAUUAAUGCCUUUGUUUUGAAAACCAUCACUUUUAAAGCUAUACAACAAAAAUAGGGAGUAAGUGAAUUAAAAACAUACCUUUUGAGAUCUAAUCUUCUCCAGAAAUUCUGGACUAAAGUUUACUCAAUCUCAGUCUUGUUGGGAGAUAUCAGUCCAAAUCUGACUACUCUCAGAUAGAAAACUAUACAGCUGUAACUCAAGAGUUACCUCUCCUACUUCUUAAUGGACUUUGCAAUAGUUUUGACAUGUCUGCUCUUUUUUGAGAGUGGAGAAGACUUUAUCUGUUUUGUGGUUAGACAUCUGGUUAGAUAUAGCAGUCUAGCUAACCAUAUAGGAAACCAAAACAAACUGAGCAAUAUAAAGUAUAUUUUCUCAUCUUCGGUAGUACCUGACAACUAUGUUGAAACAUACUGCUUGUCUGAAAUAUUAAUGCAAUAUCAUAAAUCCCUCACAGCAUAACUGAUUGCAGAUUGCUGUUUUUAUUGCCAUUCCUGAAUAUAUAUCACAUGUGAGAAUAGAUUAUACGUGCUUCUGUUACUGAGAAGGUUGCAGAACUUUGACAUGUGACUAAGAAUGAAGGGAAGAGGUACCACAAGCCAACCUGAACCCUUCAUAAAGCCUUCUGCAGAAGUCACAGGUAGUGUUUCCAAUUCCUCCUGUAAAUGUCCAAUUGUGGCAGAACCUAUGUCUGGCAACUUCUUUGCUUUUUCCAGCCAUUAACAUCUUUACCAUAGUGCUGCCCAGCUGCCACAUAACUACUGCACCUUCUUCACCCUAUUUAACCACCCACUGCUUUUCUUUAAGCAACAAACUUCCUCUUCUCCCUCUGUUCCCUGGGAAGAUGUAGUUUUGCUUAGGAGCAGCCCUAAGUCUGUGAAUUCCAAAGGAUAUGUUGUUACAGAGGAUCUCUCUAGAUAUCUGGAUCUAGUUACUUGUAUAUAAGCCCCAGAAAUAAUCUCUAAAUUCAAAUUAUAAGGCCUUGUUUUUGUAUUAUAAACGUUCUCCUCUCGCAGAUGUUUUAGAGCUUUUUGUUUCUCUUUUACACUGGAAACACUCUCAAGUUUAAGGAAAAGGUGAAACCACAAGGAGCUAUAAGUAUUUAUAUAUGUAUAUAUAUCUAAUUGUGUUCCCAAUUUUAUUUGGGGCUUUUGAAUGUCUGUGCAUUACAGCCAGAGGAUGCCUGGGACAGAUUUUUUACUCACAUUUAAAAAGUACAUAUGAUGUCAGAGAAAAAUCACUUGGUCUUGCUGUAGUGUUUGCUAAAGGAUUGUCAGGUGUUGGUAAUAAUUUUUAAGCAUUCAACGAUCAAGGCUGCUGAAAUACUAACAGUUUUAUUCCUUGUGCUUCUGUAUAGCAAAAAAAAACAGAUUUUGAAAAUGAACCAAAGUACUGUGCUUCUCUUUUGUUCAAGCUGCAGACUUCCAUUGCUGUCGUGUUCUCAUUUCACUUCUCUUCCCUCUUCCAGUAAGUUCUUUACCAGAUUAGGGAAGAAGAAGCUACUGUAACAAUUCUCCACAGAAUCUGUCUGAAAACUAACCAAAGGUAAUGGAGACCAACCUAUCCAGGAAGGGAGUGCUUUCUAAGAAGGUCUUUUGUGUUCCACAUCACUUUACAGCAAAUGAUCUUGAAAUUAAAAAUUGCAGACAGCAUUUUCUCAUUUUUAUUUAGAUCUCCUUCAGAAUCUAAGUUCAGCUAUGCUUCUUGCACACCCUUAUUUUUAAAUAACUUUCUUGUAUAUGCAACUUACACGAUUUAUUUAGGUUUCUGUUUAUGAGCAAUGUAAAAACAGGGGAAUGGGACAUAUUCUGAACUUCUGUCUUCUUCUUUGACUUAUUUAACUGCCAUAACCUAAAUCUUUUGAGCUAGAGAUCACUCUGAUGUCUACUACUUGCCCAAACACACUGCUUUCCCAAGAACGGCCCUUAAGAGCACAGCAGCUGUGCAUGCAGACUUCUCAGGCAGCAUGGAGGUUCAGAUCACAAAGUGGAAGGACUGAAAGAAAUCAGUAUCAAGGCCAUAUUGAUGGAACAAAGACCAUAGCAGCAUCUAUUUCAGCUCCUCUCCGAGGAAACGAGGACUAUUUACAAGCCAGUCCAAAUCCUUCUCAGCCCCUUUGUUUAAAUACUAGAAUUGAUUCAGAAGACAAAAAAUGGUCUGUGUUUGACAGACACAAAUACCAGAGAAGUGAAGCAUGCAAAUAUUCAACACCCUUUUUUUUUAUCAAUAGUCUGAGUUAAAUGCUUAUGUAGCUAGAAAAUGUGACUGCCCAGCUGUAGCUUCAGAGUCUGGCCUUUCAAACCAGCCCUUCCACCCAAGUUAGUUCUAGCUAUGCAUAUUUCUGCUAGAAAGAGAAUGCCUGCCAGUGACAAAUAAAUAGUGUUCAUAUCAACAGUUCAAAGAAGUCCAUGGAGUACACACCCACAAGACAGUAGGUGUACAUUCAAGUAAUAAGCACAUUUUGGGGGAUCAAAAUACAGUUAUGGUCUUUAAGAGGAGCAGAAUGGGAAGACAGGUUUAGAAAUCAGUGUAUAAACAGCCUCAAAUUGGAGAUGCCAAGGUAAAGUUUAUUCUAGGACAAAAUAUUUUAAAAAACAGUGAGUACUCCUUGGGUGACAGAACAAGGCCAUGAGCGUCUUACAGGAAUUUAAUUCAGAAGGUAAUGUGAUAAAGAAAAUACUAUUAUAUUUUUUUUAUAUUCAUUACGUAUGUAAAUAUGCAGUGAAUUUAAAACCCACGGAGAGAAGACUGCAAAUGAAAUAUAAGUGGGAAUACAACUACCACCAGCAUAAUCUAUUUUGGAUCUCUUGCAUGCUUUCAACUCACACACACAUCUUAUUAUUUGCACAUCCUGUCUUUAUUUUCCUAAUAACUCUAAUACAAUAUUACCCUGACAAAUGUAAAUUUAUAUCAAUGUUUUAAAUAUAUUUAGGAAGUAAUUCAAUAAUUUUGUUAAAUCCAGAGCAAUAACAUUAAAGACCAUGUUUUCAUGCUGGUGGUGCUUUAAUAUAAUUUGUCCCAAGCACAAUAAAUCAAAAUAUGUUCUCUGAAAUACCAUACUAAUGUUCUCAAACACAGUAGAUAAAAUGUCUCCUCCCCAACUUUGUAAGUAACCUGUUUUUAUUACUCCUUGCAAAUGCUAAUGAUUUUGUAAAGAACAAUGUAAAAAUACCACUGGCAAAACCAAUUUAAAUAUCACUGCUUACAAAUCUUGUGUUCUAACUACUUCCUGCAAUAAAUGUAUCACAUGAGCAAUAAUAAAUGUUUACAUAGCAACAAAGUGCCUUUGCUAGUGAUCAUCAAACAGCAAGCUGCCACCUGCUUUCAGACCAAAUAAUGCCUGGGCAUUGCAAAAAGUCAUGUGAAGAAUUUAAGUACUCAACUCUCACUUGAGAGUGAGUUAUUUGCUACUUACAGAAAUAGAGCCAGUAUAGUUUUGCAGAACAGGGGAUGAAAAGUUUGACAUUUUUCCAACAGUGUCCCCUACACUGCUCACUGACAUUUAGGUGAUG